rnacentral:rRNA from 1 species
AACGAACGCUGGCGGCAUGCCUAACACAUGCAAGUCGAACGAGACCUUCGGGUCUAGUGGCGCACGGGUGCGUAACGCGUGGGAACCUGCCCUUAGGUUCGGAAUAACUCCCCGAAAGGGGUGCUAAUACCGGAUAAUGUCUUCGGACCAAAGAUUUAUCGCCUUUGGAUGGGCCCGCGUUGGAUUAGCUAGUUGGUAGGGUAAAAGCCUACCAAGGCGACGAUCCAUAGCUGGUCUGAGAGGAUGACCAGCCACACUGGGACUGAGACACGGCCCAGACUCCUACGGGAAGCAGCAGUGGGGAAUAUUGGACAAUGGGCGAAAGCCUGAUCCAGCAAUGCCGCGUGAGUGAUGAAUGCCUUAGUGUUGUAAAGCUCUUUUACCCGGGAUGAUAAUGACAGUACCGGGAGAAUAAGCUCCGGCUAACUCCGUG